rnacentral:rRNA from 1 species
CCUACGGGAGGCAGCAGUGGGGAAUAUUGGACAAUGGGCGAAAGCCUGAUCCAGCCAUGCCGCGUGUGUGAAGAAGGCCUUCGGGUUGUAAAGCACUUUCAGUGGGGAAGAAAGCCUUGGGGCUAAUACCCUCGAGGAAGGACAUCACCCACAGAAGAAGCACCGGCUAACUCCGUGCCAGCAGCCGCGGUAAUACGGAGGGUGCGAGCGUUAAUCGGAAUUACUGGGCGUAAAGCGCGCGUAGGCGGUCUGAUAAGCCGGUUGUGAAAGCCCCGGGCUCAACCUGGGAACGGCAUCCGGAACUGUCAGGCUAGAGUGCAGGAGAGGAAGGUAGAAUUCCCGGUGUAGCGGUGAAAUGCGUAGAGAUCGGGAGGAAUACCAGUGGCGAAGGCGACCUUCUGGACUGACACUGACGCUGAGGUGCGAAAGCGUGGGUAGCAAACAGGAUUAGAUACCCUGGUAGUC